CAGGUCUCCAUGAAACUUAGUUGGAGAGCCAGCGUUCUGGUCUAAUCUUUUAAUUGUGUGGAUGGAAGGUUCAGGCUCAGGCAAGGGAUGGGACUUGCCCAGGUUCAAACAGUGAAUCCAUGACCUACAUAAAACUGGAACCCUGGAUACCUUUAUCUGCAGGGUUCUUCAUUCCCCGGCAGUAUUGUUCACCGAAUUCAUUCGUCUCCUCACUACAUAACUAUUUAUUAAAUGAAUUUCAGGUACUAGACAUCAAAAAGGGACUUAAAAGGGAUGUCUUCAAGUAGUGUUACUCAGUGUCUCUGGGUCUCUAGUCCUGAGAUCCUCAUGUUUUUCAGUCCAGACACAUCAGAACAAAGUCUGCCAGAAGGUGGCCAUGCACCAGUAGCUCCUCAUUUCCUGUUUACCUUUGUGAGUAACAAGAUGUACAUGCACAGAAACAGGCAGUGGGUUCCCGCCAUGUGACAGACCCUGGGACUCCGAGAUGAAGCAAACACAAGCCAUUCUCUCACAGAGCUCACAGUCCAGGAGGAGAGGCCAGUGCAAAUGACACAGCAGAGCAGGAAGAAGUAUGUACUCUCACCCACAAGAUCAAAAGGCCUCAAAAGAUGAGGAAGAUUAAAAACACCAGACUGGGGAUCUGGAGGUGUGGGUUUUAAACCUCAGUUGUGUGACCUUGAGAACUCUAGCAGACCCACCUCAUUUUAAUGUACCUGGCUAUCUACAAAACCUGGUAAGUAAGCUUGUGAUACUUAUGUUUAAAGUAAGAUUCAAUGGUUUCUGAGUUUGUGCCCAGGGAAUGUCCUAUAAGAAGAGAAUAAGAGUGUUAGGGCCUGGACCUAUGGACAUUUGUUUGAGGUGGUUGUAGAUGUAGAUUUACAUGUAGUUGCAAGAAACAAAACGGAGAGAUCCUGCAUGCCCUGGACUCAGUUUUCCCCAAAGGCAACAUCUUGCAUAACGAGAGCAUAACAUCACUACCAAGAAAUUGACAUUGACAUUGAUAUUCAGACUUCACCAGUUUUUUAUGUGUAGAUAUGUGUUUUUAUUCAUUUGUGUAGACUUAUUUAGUUUCUGUGUAGUGUGUCAUAUGUGCAGAUGUGUGUGACAGUCACCACAAUCAAGACAUAGAAAAGCUCCGUCUCUAGGAUCCCCCAUGCUACAAUGUAUAGCCUCUGCUACUACCCUCCUCUUUUAACCUCUGCCCUCCAACUCAGUAAUCAUGUUCUUUCACAAAUGUGAUAUAAAUGGAAUUGUGUGGUCUGUAUACUUCUGAGAUUGGCUUUUUUUUUUUUUUUCCGCUCAGCACCAUUUCUUUGAGGUCGAUCCAAAUCAUUGCAUGAUCAAUGGUUCAUUUCUUUUGAUGGCUGUGUGGUAUUCCAUGGUACGAAUGUAGCAUGGUUUGUUUAGCCAGUCACCCACUGAAGGAAUUUUGGGUUAUUUCCAGGAAUGACUUAUUUAUUAACAAAGCUGAUAUGAAUAUUGGUAUACAGGUUUUUGUGUGAACAUGGCUUAAUUUCAUUUCUGGUAUAAAUGCCCAGAGUGAAAUUGCUGGGUCGUAACGGUAGGCACUUGUUUCAUUUUGUAAGGAACCCUCUUUUCUAGAGUGUUGGUAUCAUUUUGCUUCCCACCAGCAAUGUGUGAAAGAACCAACAUCCUUCUCUGCAUUCUCUCUCCAGCAUUCGGUGUUAUCACUAUUUCUCCUCUUAGCCAUUCUUGUAGGUGUCUGGCGAUAUCUCACUGUGGUUUUACUUUGCAUUUCCCUGACGGCUAACAAUGUCGAACUCAUUUGCCUUCUGAAACCUGUUUGGUGAUACAGACAUCUGUUUUGGAUGCUGAAAUUACUUAUCAUUUCCUUCUUGAUUCUCUCUCAGUGGAUUCCAAGGCAGAAGGUAAAUCGCUUUUAGAUAAAUAAUGAGCUAUUGCACUUGAGUGCCAGCUACGUGCAAGAUAGUGUUCUUGGUACUGGGAAUAAAGCAUUAACAAGAACAGAGAACAAUCCCUGUUGUCAUGGAGCUUAUGUUCUAGUGGAGUGAGAUGGCCACUAAAUAAAAGAAAUGAGUUAAGCGUAUUAGAUGCUCUUGGAGCUUUAGGAAAAAAAAAACAGAAAGGGAGAUAGGCAGUUACUUUAGUUACAGUUUAAUGUAGGGUGGCGAGAAAAACCCAUGCUCCUGGCCUUGAAAAAGCUGUGUGUCAGGAGCAUCAGUGUGGCCAGGAAGACUGGAGUUGUGAGUGAGGAGGAGACCAGGGGCAAUGAGGUCAGAGCAGUAUCAGAGGAGGCUGGCCAUGCGGGGCUCUGAGCAUGGGUAGGAGUUGACUCUCGUUCAGUGUGGUGGGGAAGCUCUGGAAUAUGUAGGGCAGAGGAGUGGCAGGAUUUCAUUUCAUAAAAAUCUUCCUGGCUGCUGUGUCAAGAAUAGCCCAAAGGAAGGGUGGAAUCAGGGAGACCAGUUUGGAAACUAUUGCAAUAAUCCAGGCGAAGCAAGAUGGUAGACUGGCAAAGGUGGUGACAGAGAGGGUAACAAGAAAUCAUGGGUUCCAUAAAUAUUUUGAAGUAGAGAGGACAUAACUUCUCAUCCAGUUGGAUGUAGGGUGAGAGAGAAAGAGAAAAGUCUGGGUCCAUGGUUCUUGGUUGGAGCAUUGGAAGAAUUGAGAUGCUAUUAGUGGAGAUAGGAAAGGAAGCUUGAGAGCUCAGAUCAAGAUGUGCACCAUUUAAGGUGACUUUUAGACAACCAAGCAAAGGUGAAAUUAUGAGGAGGCAGUGGAUGAUAAGUCUGAGGUCCCAGUCAGAGGCUUGGGUGGAAAAUUAAUUUGAGAAUCUUUCUUGACAGAGCAACUCUCACAUAUUACUCUAUAUUGGAGAUUCCUCUUGAUUACAGGUCCUUAAUUUCUUAAUUUAAAAUCUUUGGUGCCAGGUUUUGGAAAAGCAUUAAGUUUAGCGAUAUGAAAUCACCAUUAUCUGACAGCUUUGACCUACAAUAAUAAUAAUUUCAUAUGGUUCACCUGAAUAAUACCCUCCACAUGCCUUAUAUUACAUAACAUUCUCAGUGGGGGUUUGAAACAGUGUCCUAUAAUCAAACAGAAACAUUUCUGUAGCCCAGUACACUCAUGCUGAGUGGGAUAGGUAAGGACAACACACACACACACACACACACACACACACACGCCCUUCCAAUUCAGCUUUUGUUGCCAAGUGCAUUAUAUUUGGACUGUGCAGCAUGCCGAGUUGAAAUAGGCCAAUGAGCAGAAGAUACUGAGAGGGAUAUUUCAACUCAACUUAAUGACUAUAUCAAUGCUAUUCCAUGACUAAUCACACAUGUUUCUAAAGGUGGGAGCUGUCUGUCCCAUGAGUGCACACGGGACCUGAACAACCACUUAUUGGGGAUAUUUUAGAGGAAAUUCGGUUACUAGAGAGAUUGUUAGAGCUGGUGUCUUUUACAGCUCUUGGUCUCACUGAGAUGAAAAUGACUAUAAAUCAUUUCUAGCUUCAUGCCUCAUUCUUCCCAUCUGUGAAAUGGGAUGGGACCACGGAGCUGAACUUCGUGAUUGCCGAGGAUGCUUCUGGUGUUGUUUUAAGGUUUCUAUGCUUCUUUGCCUCUUCUCUUUGUCACUGGUUGUUCCCUCCACCCUUGUUUGUAGAGUAACCCUCUUUCCAGACCGAGCCAUAGCAAUUUUACCAGGAUGUGCAGUGAAUAAUUAGCAUGGGCAGCUGGAUGGGGAGGCAGACGUUUUCCCUGUUGCUUCCCAAAUUGGGAAAAAUGGUUAUUUUUGGGGGGGAUUACUUCUUGUCAUGUAAGCGUGUUUUGACUUAUGCAACACCCAUGGUGUCGAUGGUGGCAUGGCCUCCCCUUUCUGGUUCUCUUGGGAGAUGAGCUCUUUGAUGAAAGAAAUUUUCAGUGACUGACACACAGCCUUCUAAGGGACAACCUAAAAAAAAUGCAACUGUUUUGAAUGGAAACCUUUCUAAUAUAAUUUACAGCUAUAAAACAGUUUUUUUUUUCUGAUUAUAAAAGUAACAUAUUUUGGCUCUAGGAACAAAAGAGAAAAAAGGGAGGAAAACAAUUAUCCACACUCCCUAAACUGGGGGUUGGCAGACCUUUUCUCUAAAGGGUCAGAUGGUGAUUAUUUUAGAAUUUAUGAACCGAGGAGCAAAACUGGAGUUAUCAUAUAGAUGUUUAUAUCAUAUAGAUGUUUAUACAACCAUUUGAAAAUAGGAAACCAUUCUUUUUUUUCCCUUUUAAUGUUUAUUUAUUCUUGACAGAGAGAGAGAGAGAGAGAGAGAGAAUGAGUGGGGGAGGGUCAGAGAGAGGGAGACAGAAUCUGAAGCAGGCUCCAGGCUCUGAGCUGUCAGCACAGAGCCCCAACUGUGAGAUCAUGACCUGAGGCAAGGUUGGAUGCUCAACUGACUGAGCCACCCAGGUGCCCCAAAAUAGGAAACCAUUCUUAGUGUGCAGGCCAUACGAAAGCAGGGCUGGCUGGAUUUAGACUGUGGGCAGUAGUUUUCUGACCCCUGGUCUAAACUGUCUCGAAACUGGACCUUUAACAAGAGGAUUUUUUUCCAAAUUAAUUUUUUUUAUGCUUUUCUUUCUUUUCUUUCUAGCUUUUAAGCAAGACAUUACUUUAUAUUUUCAUUUUUGUGCAUCUCACUGAAUAGCAGCAUUCCAGAAAGAAAAUUGUUCAGGGCUGCAUAGACCUUCUCUCAAAUGGAAGUACUAUAGUUCAUUUGAACAACUCCCACUUCAAGUGCAUUUGGAUUGUUUCUUAUUAAUUUAUAAAUAAAACAUAGUUCUUUUGUU